AGAACGAACGCUGGCGGCAUGCCUAAUACAUGCAAGUCGAACGAAGGCUUCGGCCUUAGUGGCGCACGGGUGCGUAACGCGUGGGAGUCUGCCCCUUGGUUCGGAAUAACAGUUGGAAACGACUGCUAAUACCGGAUGAUGACGAAAAGUCCAAAGAUUUAUCGCCAAGGGAUGAGCCCGCGUAGGAUUAGCUAGUUGGUGAGGUAAAGGCUCACCAAGGCGACGAUCCUUAGCUGGUCUGAGAGGAUGAUCAGCCACACUGGGACUGAGACACGGCCCAGACUCCUACGGGAGCAGCAGUAGGGAAUAUGGACAAUGGGCGAAAGCCUGAUCCAGCAAUGCCGCGUGAGUGAUGAAGCCUUAGGUGUAAAGCUCUUUUACCCGAGAUGAUAAUGACAGUAUCGGAGAAUAAGCCCCGACUAACUCCGUAACAGCAGCCGAC
rnacentral:rRNA from 1 species